UACGUAGGGUGCAAGCGUUAAUCGGAAUUACUGGGCGUAAAGCGCACGCAGGUGGCUGAGUCAGUCGAUUGUGAAAGCCCUGGGCUUAACCUGGGAAUUGCAGUCGAUACUACUCAGCUAGAGUAUGGGAGAGGGCAGUGGAAUUCCCGGUGUAGCGGUGAAAUGCGUAGAUAUCGGGAGGAACAUCAGUGGCGAAAAGCGGCUUCCUGGUCCAGCACCGACGUUCAGGCACGAAAGCGUGGGGAGCAAACAG
rnacentral:rRNA from 1 species